rnacentral:rRNA from 1 species
CCUACGGGAGGCAGCAGUGAGGAAUAUUGGUCAAUGGACGAGAGUCUGAACCAGCCAAGUAGCGUGAAGGAUGACUGCCCUAUGGGUUGUAAACUUCUUUUAUAUGGGAGUAAAAUGUUCCACGUGUGGGAUUUUGUAUGUACCAUAUGAAUAAGGAUCGGCUAACUCCGUGCCAGCAGCCGCGGUAAUACGGAGGAUCCAAGCGUUAUCCGGAUUUAUUGGGUUUAAUGGGAGCGUAGGUGGAGUGUUAAGUCAGUUGUGAAAGUUUGCGGCUCAACCGUAAAAUUGCAGUUGAAACUGGCCGUCUAGAGUACAGUAGAGGUAGGCGGAAUGUGUGGUGUAGCGGUGAAAUGCUUAGAUAUCACGCAGAACACCGAUUGCGAAGGCAGUUCACUAGACUGCAACUGACACUGAGGCUCGAAAGUGUGGGUAUCAAACAGGAUUAGAUACCCUUGUAGUC